rnacentral:rRNA from 1 species
CGACGGUUGUCCCGGUUUAAGCAUGUAGGCUGGUUGUCCAGGCAAAUCCGGAUAAUCAAGGCUGAGGUGUGAUGACGAGGCACUACGGUGCUGAAGUAACAAAUGCCCUGCUUCCAGGAAAAGCCUCUAAGCAUCAGGUAACAUCAAAUCGUACCCCAAACCGACACAGGUGGUCAGGUAGAGAAUACCAAGGCGCUUGAGAGAACUCGGGUGAAGGAACUAGGCAAAAUGGUGCCGUAACUUCGGGAGAAGGCACGCUGGUGUGUAGGUGAAGUCCCUGCGGAUGGAGCUGAGACCAGUCGAAGAUACCAGCUGGCUG